GCCCUCGUAGCUCAACGGACAGAGCACUUGGCUUCGGACCAAGGGGUUGGGGGUUCGAGUCCCUCCGAGGGUACCC
rnacentral:tRNA from 1 species